AUUUAAAUAGUUUAUAAAAAACGUUAAUUUGUGAAAUUAAAAAAAAUAAAGUAUUUUUAAAUC
rnacentral:tRNA from 1 species